rnacentral:rRNA from 1 species
AACGAACGCUGGCGGCAUGCCUAACACAUGCAAGUCGAACGAGACCUUCGGGUCUAGUGGCGCACGGGUGCGUAACGCGUGGGAACCUGCCCUUAGGUUCGGAAUAACUCCCCGAAAGGGGUGCUAAUACCGGAUAAUGUCUUCGGACCAAAGAUUUAUCGCCUUUGGAUGGGCCCGCGUUGGAUUAGCUAGUUGGUAGGGUAAAGGCCUACCAAGGCGACGAUCCAUAGCUGGUCUGAGAGGAUGAUCAGCCACACUGGGACUGAGACACGGCCCAGACUCCUACGGGAGGAAGCAGUGGGGAAUAUUGGAGAAUGGGCGAAAGCCUGAUCCAGCAAUGCCGCGUGAGUGAUGAAGGCCUUAUGGUUGUAAAGCUCUUUUACCCGGGAUGAUAAUGACAGUACCGGGAGAAUAAGCUCCGGCUAACUCCGUG